UACAGAGGGUGCGAGCGUUGUCCGGAAUCACUGGGCGUAAAGGGCGCGUAGGUGGCGGCCCAAGUCCAUGGUGAAAGCUCGAUGCUCAACAUCGAGUCGGCCACGGAUACUGGGUUGCUCGAGCACUGUAGGGGCAGAUGGAAUUCCGGGUGUAGCGGUGGAAUGCGCAGAUAUCAGGAGGAACACCGGUGGCGAAGGCGGUUCUCUGGGAAUGACCUGACGCUGAGGAGCGAAAGUGUGGGGAGCGAACAG
rnacentral:rRNA from 1 species